rnacentral:rRNA from 1 species
UCCAACCUGCCGAUGACUCGGGGAUAGCCUUUCGAAAGAAAGAUUAAUACCCGAUGGCAUAGUUCUUCCGCAUGGUAGAACUAUUAAAGAAUUUCGGUCAUCGAUGGGGAUGCGUUCCAUUAGGUUGUUGGCGGGGUAACGGCCCACCAAGCCUUCGAUGGAUAGGGGUUCUGAGAGGAAGGUCCCCCACAUUGGAACUGAGACACGGUCCAAACUCCUACGGGAGGCAGCAGUGAGGAAUAUUGGUCAAUGGACGAGAGUCUGAACCAGCCAAGUAGCGUGAAGGAUGACUGCCCUAUGGGUUGUAAACUUCUUUUAUACGGGAAUAAAGUGAGGCACGCGUGCCUUUUUGUAUGUACCGUAUGAAUAAGGAUCGGCUAACUCCGUGCCAGCAGCCGCGGUAAUACGGAGGAUCCGAGCGUUAUCCGGAUUUAUUGGGUUUAAAGGGAGCGUAGGCGGACGCUUAAGUCAGUUGUGAAAGUUUGCGGCUCAACCGUAAAAUUGCAGUUGAUACUGGGUGUCUUGAGUACAGUAGAGGCAGGCGGAAUUCGUGGUGUAGCGGUGAAAUGCUUAGAUAUCACGAAGAACUCCGAUUGCGAAGGCAGCUUGCUGGACUGUAACUGACGCUGAUGCUCGAAAGUGUGGGUAUCAAACAGGAUUAGAUACCCUGGUAGUCCACACAGUAAACGAUGAAUACUCGCUGUUUGCGAUAUACGGUAAGCGGCCAAGCGAAAGCGUUAAGUAUUCCACCUGGGGAGUAC